GAGACGUCUGCACGUGUCUCUGGCCGGUCCUGAUGCCAACUUGGGCCGGGCUUCCCCAACUUCUCCCUCGGACACCCCCUGUGCCCGGGGAGAUGCUGCCCGGGGAGAUGCUGCCCGGGGAGAUGCUGCCCGGGGAGAUGCUGCCCGGAGAGAUGAUGCCCUGGGAGAUGCUGCCCGGGGAGAUGCUGCCCGGGGAGAUGCCGCUGCCCCCCCGCAGCUCCGACCGGCCAGGGGAGGGAGAGGGGGUCCUGCCAUGCCGGCCCUGUUCCCGGGGAGACCCUCGGGGGUCCCGACCAAACGUCCAGCCCGGAGGUGACCGUACCCACUGGACGGGACCGCCUCCCUCCUCCCGGACCCCGUCGCUCUCCACUGCCAGAAAGUCCAGCCCCAACUUCGCCAUCUCCCAUCUUUUCCCUCCUUCCCUCCUCCCUCUCCCUCUCCCGGGCAGCCACAGUCCGCUCCGUUGGUCCUUCCUCGCACCUUGCUAAGCGCCCUUGGGAGCAUCCUGCGGGUGGUCAGUGCAGAGAGGGCUGGGACAAACCCUCCACCUCCCAGACUCGCUCGCCCUUAAGCCAAAGGCCACCUGCAAUUGCAGGCACAACUUUCCCGAGGCGCAGAUGUGGGACGACGAGGGGCCAGCCGAAAAUCUGCUCCCCUUGGGGUGGGAAGGAGAUGGGAAGGAUCAUCUCAUCUGCUGGAACCGGCCAAAUGUACGUGAAGAUCCAGAGUCAGCAGUAGUGAGACAUCGAUAGCCAUGUAUUCAGACCUUUUCUCAAGCAAUUAAGUGAUGGAAACAGGCUGCCUAAGACCAAGAUGGCGUAUGGGAUAUGAAAGAAGCCCCCUCCAAGUAUCAUGCUCAAUAGACACUUGUUUCAGUGGAGGAAAAUGCUCCAGUGAUGGAAGUUAAGUUCUGCCAGUGUUCGGGAGGGUUUCAGGGACCCC